rnacentral:rRNA from 1 species
GACGAACGCUGGCGGCGUGCUUAACACAUGCAAGUCGAACGGAAAGGCCCUGCUUUUGUGGGGUGCUCGAGUGGCGAACGGGUGAGUAACACGUGAGUAACCUGCCCUUGACUUUGGGAUAACUUCAGGAAACUGGGGCUAAUACCGGAUAGGAGCUCCUGCUGCAUGUUGGGGGUUGGAAAGUUUCGGCGGUUGGGGAUGGACUCGCGGCUUAUCAGCUUGUUGGUGGGGUAGUGGCUUACCAAGGCUUUGACGGGUAGCCGGCCUGAGAGGGUGACCGGGCACAUUGGGACUGAGAUACGGCCCAGACUCCUACGGGAGGCAGCAGUGGGGAAUAUUGCACAAUGGGCGGAAGCCUGAUGCAGCAACGCCGCGUGCGGGAUGACGGCCUUCGGGUUGUAAACCGCUUUCGCCUGUGACGAAGCGUGAGUGACGGUAAUGGGUAAAGAAGCACCGGCUAACUACGUG